rnacentral:rRNA from 1 species
UACGUAGGGGGCGAGCGUUGUCCGGAUUUAUUGGGCGUAAAGAGCGUGUAGGCGGCCAGGUAGGUCUGCUGUGAAAGCCCGAGGCUCAACCUCGGAACUGCCUUCGAUACUGGCGAUCUUGAGUCCGGGAGAGGUGAGUGGAACUCCGAGUGUAGAGGUGAAAUUCGUAGAUAUUCGGAAGAACACCAGUGGCGAAGGCGGCUCACUGGCCCGGUACUGACGCUGAGAUGCGAAAGCGUGGGGAGCAAACAGG